GGGGCAUAGCCGGUGGAAACGCCGGGUAAUGCGCCAUGAGCCGCGCAGGGGACAUCCCCGCGCGGCAAAGCGAGAGCGGGACGGGACGGGCAUGCGUCCCAUUAGCUUGUUGGCGGGGUGAAGGCCCACCAAGGCUACGAUGGGUAGGGGAUCUGAGAGGACGGUCCCCACACUGGUACUGAGACACGGACCAGACUCCUGCGGAGGCAGCAGUAAGGGAUAUUGGUCAAUGGCCGGAAGGCUGAACCAGCCAUGCCGCGUGAGGUAUGAAGGCCCUACGGGUCGUAAGCCUCUUUAUCCGGGGACAAUGACACCCACGCGAUGGGUGUUUGAGGGUACCGGAGGAAUAAGCGUCGGCUAACUCCGUGCC
rnacentral:rRNA from 1 species